CCUACGGGAGGCAGCAGUGAGGAAUAUUGGUCAAUGGGCGUAAGCCUGAACCAGCCAAGUCGCGUGAGGGAUGACUGUCCUAUGGAUCGUAAACCUCUUUUAUAAGGGAAUAAAGCGUUGCACGUGUCCUAUUUUGUAUGUACCUUAUGAAUAAGGAUCGGCUAACUCCGUGCCAGCAGCCGCGGUAAUACGGAGGAUCCGAGCGUUAUCCGGAUUUAUUGGGUUUAAAGGGUGCGUAGGUGGCUUGUUAAGUCAGCGGUGAAAGUUUGUGGCUCAACCAUAAAAUUGCCGUUGAAACUGGCAGUCUUGAGUACGGUAGAGGUAGGCGGAAUGCGUGGUGUAGCGGUGAAAUGCUUAGAUAUCACGAAGAACCCCGAUUGCGAAGGCAG
rnacentral:rRNA from 1 species